rnacentral:lncRNA from 1 species
GAUACAAUCACGGCCAAUCAGUUUGAGAAGAAUAAAUUCGUAUUUUUGUAGAAAAGUGCAACCGCGCAUUUUUCAGUCAGAUAGUCGACGUGCUAUGUGUGUGUGCAUUCUGUUAAAAUCGUUUAUAAAACUCUUGAAAAUGCGUUCAGCGACAGGGCAAAUGGAACCGAGAAUGUAAUUUUACCUUGUUUGACAGUUGCAAAAUGAUCGUUAAGAAAUAUAGCGUAUUCCUCUCGUUUUUUAAAUAAAUAAAAAAUUGCUAUGUGUGGGUGCCGCUAAAUUUAUGCUAUGUGUGGGAGUAAACUAAAAAAACUGAGAUAUUGCAGAUUUUUCUAAAUGAUACCGUUGCUUCUAACUACUAUUGCACGUGCCGGUAAUGCAAAAUAAAUAACGUAACAGUACUAAGAAAGAUUAAGUAUCAUAAUGACGGAAAUAUAUCUCAAAUUGUCUAUUUUGAAUUUUCAGAAAUGUCUUCAUUCAUGUGUGAUACUUGUGGAAAGGAGUUCAAAACUAACUACAGCCUGUCACGGCAUCAAAACUUACAAACAAAUGCAGGGAAAUUUUACUGCUGUGGACAGUCUUUCUAUGACCUCUACCAUCUGAGAAGACCCCGUACCAGUAGGCACGAUGGACCCAAAAAUCAUGUAUGUACAAAUUGUGUAAAAGUUUUCGCCGACAAGUAUCUUUUAUCCGCCCAUGUGAAAUCCGAGAGGAAGGAAAAUUUUGUGGCACGUGAUAUUUGCGAAGCGAAAUGCAGAGACGAAAUCGCUUUGAAGGAACACAUGAAUUCCCAUAUCAUGGAGAAACGCAACAUUUGCAGUGCGUGUGGGGAAAGCUACAAGCACUAGAGCAGUUUGUCCCGUCGUAAGCGGGUGCAUAAAGACAAAAAGUGAGUUUGUCAUCAAAUUCGUAUUUUGAUACGAUAAUAUUACUAAGAAUAUUUUAAGACGUUCAAAAAAGAUGCAGUAAAUCAUUUGUCGUGAGUGUACGGCUUGUAAUGAUCCAUUUGCUUAUGUUAUGUUGGAGGAAAAAGUCAAAAUGAACAUUCCAUUGAAAUUCAAAUUUUAAUUACUGAUAUCUGUAAAAUACCAUAGGCAGCAGUAUCAGUGCUUUGAUUAAGAAAAAUUAAGUAAAUUAGAUUUUUAACAC